GACGAACGCUGGCGGCGUGCCUAAUACAUGCAAGUCGAACGCAGUUGGGACGGGUGAGUAACACGUGGGUAACCUCCCAUCAGAGGGGAUAACACUUGGAAACAGGUGCUAAACCGAUACUGAUGGAUGGACCCGCGGUUCAUUAGCUAGUUGGUGAGGUAACGGCUCACCAAGGCCACGAUGCAUAGCGGACCUGAGAGGGUGAUCGCCAAAACUGGGACUGAGACACGGCCCAGACUCCUACGGGAGGCAGCAGUAGGGAAUCUUGGGCAAGGGACGAAAGUCUGACCGAGCAACGCCGCGUGGAUGAAGAAGGUUUUCGGAUCGUAAAACUCUGUUGUUGGAGAAGCGGUAUCUAACCAGAAAGCAACGGCUAACUACGUGCCAGCAGCCGCGGUAAUAC
rnacentral:rRNA from 1 species